rnacentral:rRNA from 1 species
CAGCCGCCGCGGUAAUACCAGCGCCACGAGUGGCAACACGUUUAUUGGGCCUAAAGCGUCCGUAGCCGGUUAGAUAAAUCUCUUGUGAAAUCGUCAGGCUUAACUUGACGGCGUGCUUGAGAGACUGUCUAACUCGAGACCGGGAGGAGUCAAAAGUAUUCCUGAGGGAGCGGUAAAAUGUGAUAAUCUCAGGAGGACUAUCUAUGGCGAAGGCAUUUGACCAGAACGGAUCUGACGGUGAGGGACGAAGGCCAGGGGAGCGAUCCGGAUUAGAUACCCGAGUAGUCCUGGCAGUAAACGCUGCGAGCAAGAUGUUGCGUAUCUUCUGAGGAUAUGCAGUGUCGAAGCGAAGGCAUUAAGCUCGCCGCCUGGGAAGUACGGUCGCAAGACUGAAACUUUAAGGAAUUGGCGGGGGAGCACCACCAGGGGUGCGGCGUGCGGUUUAAUCUAACUCAACGCAGAGAACCUUACUAGAAGCGACGGCAGGAAGAUGGUCAGCUUGAAGAGCUUACCGGACGAGCCGAGAGGUAGUGCAUGGCCGCCGUCAGCUCGUGCCGUAAGGUGUCCAGUUAAGUCUGGCAACGAGCGAGACCUAUACCCUCUAUUGCUAACAGCCACAUGUGGGACUGAGCACUUUGAGGGGACUGCCUUGGAAACAAGGAGGAAGGUGUAGGCAACGGUAGGUCUGUAUGCUCCGAAUCUUCUAGGCUACACGCGCGCAACAAUGGUAGUGACAAUGGGCUGCGACUCCGAAAGGAGGAGCUAAUCCUCGAAACACUACCUCAGUUCGGAUCGCGGAUUGAAACUCAUCCGCGUGACGCCGGAAUCCCUAGUAAACAGACGUCAUCAUCGUCUGUUGANAUAUGUCCCUGCUCCUUGCACAC